rnacentral:rRNA from 2 species
CCAACAGGGAUUGCCUCAGUAACGGCGAGUGAAGCGGCAACAGCUCAAAUUUGAAAUCUGGCCCCAGGCCCGAGUUGUAAUUUGCAGAGGAUGCUUCUGGCAAGGUGCCUUCCAAGUCCCCUGGAACGGGGCGCCGAAGAGGGUGAGAGCCCCGUCCGGUCGGCCACCAAGCCUGUGUGAAGCUCCUUCGACGAGUCGAGUAGUUUGGGAAUGCUGCUCUAAACGGGAGGUAGACCCCUUCUAAAGCUAAAUACCGGCCAGAGACCGAUAGCGCACAAGUAGAGUGAUCGAAAGAUGAAAAGCACUUUGAAAAGAGGGUUAAAAAGUACGUGAAAUUGUUGAAAGGGAAGCGCUUGUGACCAGACGUGUGCCGGGGUGUUCAGCGGGCGUUCUCGCCCGUGCACUCGCCCCGGUACAGGCCAGCGUCGGUUCGCGCGGGGGGACAAAGGCGUCGGGAACGUAGCUCCUCCGGGAGUGUUAUAGCCCGGCGUGUCAUGCCCCCGUGCGGACCGAGGUUCGCGCUCCGCAAGGACGCUGGCGUAAUGGUCUCCAGCGGCCCGUCUUGAAACACGGACCAAGGAGUCGAGGUUUUGCGCGAGUGUUUGGGUGUUAAACCCGCACGCGUAAUGAAAGUGAACGCAGGUGGGAGCUUCGGCGCACCACCGACCGAUCCUGAUGUUCUCGGAUGGAUUUGAGUAGGAGCGUAGGGCCUCGGACCCGAAAGAUGGUGAACUAUACGUGGAUAGGGUGAAGCCAGAGGAAACUCUGGUGGAGGCUCGCAGCGGUUCUGACGUGCAAAUCGAUCGUCAAAUCUGCGUAUGGGGGCGAAAGACUAAUCGAACCAU